UGCAUCGGCCGGGAAUCAAACCCGGGCCGCCCGCGUGGCAGACAAGCAUUUUACCACUGAACCAUUGAUGC
rnacentral:tRNA from 1 species